rnacentral:lncRNA from 1 species
GGAGACUUACCACGGGAAGGAGUUACUGACCUACGGCUGGAAGGGGGUGAUCUACGUUGCCGUGGGGAUGAAGAUCUGCGGUGUCGCUGUUGCACAGGAGAAGGUGAUCUACGUCGCAUGGGAGGUGGUGAUCUUCGUCGUAGAGGUGAUGGAGACCUACGGCGCACAGGCAAUGGGGAUUUACGACGUAUAGGUGAAGGAGAUCUGCGACGCACAGGGGAACGAGAUCCAUGAAGCAUAGGUGAGGGAGACCUACGACGCCGUACAAGAGAUGGUGAUCUGCGACGUCGAAUGGACAAUGGUGAUCUACGACGUGUAAUAGGUGAUGGUGAUCUAUAACGUCGGAUGGGUGAACGAGAUCUACGGUGCACAGGUGUAGGUGACCUGCGCCGAUAAGGAGAACGAGAUCUACGGCGCACAGGUGUAGGUGACCCGCGCCGAUAAGGAGAACGAGACUGAGAUCUACGCCUAGAGUAAGACGGUCUUCGUCUUUCAGGAGACCUUCGCCUGUAAUAAGAUGGUCUUCGUCUUACAGGAGAGCGUGAAAAAGAAGGUGAAUGCCUGGAUCGAG